GGUUAAGCGACUAAGCGUACACGGUGGAUGCCCUGGCAGUCAGAGGCGAUGAAGGACGUGCUAAUCUGCGAAAAGCGCCGGCGAGGUGAUAUGAACCCUUGACCCGGCGAUGUCCGAAUGGGGAAACCCAGUGCAAUCCGUUGCACUAUCGUUAACUGAAUACAUAGGUUAACGAGGCGAACCGGGGGAACUGAAACAUCUAAGUACCCCGAGGAAAAGAAAUCAACCGAGAUUCCCCCAGUAGCGGCGAGCGAACGGGGAGCAGCCCGGAGUCUGAAUCAGCUUGUGUGUUAGUGGAACGGUCUGGAAAGUCCGACGGUACAGGGUGAUAGUCCCGUACACGAAAAUGCACAUGCUGUGAACUCGAAGAGUAGGGCGGGACACGUGGUAUCCUGUCUGAAUAUGGGGGGACCAUCCUCCAAGGCUAAAUACUCCUGACUGACCGAUAGUGAACCAGUACCGUGAGGGAAAGGCGAAAAGAACCCCGGCGAGGGGAGUGAAAAAGAACCUGAAACCGUGUACGUACAAGCAGUGGGAGCCUCUUUAUGGGGUGACUGCGUACCUUUUGUAUAAUGGGUCAGCGACUUAUAUUCUGUAGCAAGGUUAACCGUAUAGGGGAGCCGAAGGGAAACCGAGUCUUAACUGGGCGUUAAGUUGCAGGGUAUAGACCCGAAACCCGGUGAUCUAGCCAUGGGCAGGUUGAAGGUUGGGUAACACUAACUGGAGGACCGAACCGACUAAUGUUGAAAAAUUAGCGGAUGACCUGUGGCUGGGGGUGAAAGGCCAAUCAAACCGGGAGAUAGCUGGUUCUCCCCGAAAGCUAUUUAGGUAGCGCCUCGUGAACUCAUCUUCGGGGGUAGAGCACUGUUUCGGCUAGGGGGCCAUCCCGGCUUACCAACCCGAUGCAAACUACGAAUACCGAAGAAUGUUAUCACGGGAGACACACGGCGGGUGCUAACGUCCGUCGUGAAGAGGGAAACAACCCAGACCGCCAGCUAAGGUCCCAAAGUCAUGGUUAAGUGGGAAACGAUGUGGGAAGGCACAGACAGCCAGGAUGUUGGCUUAGAAGCAGCCAUCAUUUAAAGAAAGCGUAAUAGCUCACUGGUCGAGUCGGCCUGCGCGGAAGAUGUAACGGGGCUAAACCAUGCACCGAAGCUGCGGCAGCGACGCUUAUGCGUUGUUGGGUAGGGGAGCGUUCUGUAAGCCGUUGAAGGUGUGCUGUGAGGCAUGCUGGAGGUAUCAGAAGUGCGAAUGCUGACAUAAGUAACGAUAAAGCGGGUGAAAAGCCCGCUCGCCGGAAGACCAAGGGUUCCUGUCCAACGUUAAUCGGGGCAGGGUGAGUCGACCCCUAAGGCGAGGCCGAAAGGCGUAGUCGAUGGGAAACAGGUUAAUAUUCCUGUACUUGGUGUUACUGCGAAGGGGGGACGGAGAAGGCUAUGUCAGCCGGGCGACGGUUGUCCCGGUUUAAGCAUGUAGGCGGAGGUUCCAGGUAAAUCCGGUACCUUUUUAACGCUGAGGUGUGAUGACGAGGCACUACGGUGCUGAAGUGAUAAAUGCCCUGCUUCCAGGAAAAGCCUCUAAGCAUCAGGUAACACGAAAUCGUACCCCAAACCGACACAGGUGGUCAGGUAGAGAAUACCAAGGCGCUUGAGAGAACUCGGGUGAAGGAACUAGGCAAAAUGGUGCCGUAACUUCGGGAGAAGGCACGCUGAUAUGUAGGUGAAGCCCCUGCGGGCGGAGCUGAAAUCAGUCGAAGAUACCAGCUGGCUGCAACUGUUUAUUAAAAACACAGCACUGUGCAAACACGAAAGUGGACGUAUACGGUGUGACGCCUGCCCGGUGCCGGAAGGUUAAUUGAUGGGGUUAGCGGCAACGCGAAGCUCUUGAUCGAAGCCCCGGUAAACGGCGGCCGUAACUAUAACGGUCCUAAGGUAGCGAAAUUCCUUGUCGGGUAAGUUCCGACCUGCACGAAUGGCGUAAUGAUGGCCAGGCUGUCUCCACCCGAGACUCAGUGAAAUUGAACUCGCUGUGAAGAUGCAGUGUACCCGCGGCAAGACGGAAAGACCCCGUGAACCUUUACUAUAGCUUGACACUGAACACUGGUCCUUGAUGUGUAGGAUAGGUGGGAGGCUUUGAAGCGUGGACGCCAGUCUGCGUGGAGCCAACCUUGAAAUACCACCCUUUAAUGGCUGGUGUUCUAACGUGGACCCGUAAUCCGGGUUGCGGACAGUGUCUGGUGGGUAGUUUGACUGGGGCGGUCUCCUCCCAAAGAGUAACGGAGGAGCACGAAGGUUGGCUAAUCCUGGUCGGACAUCAGGAGGUUAGUGCAAUGGCAUAAGCCAGCUUGACUGCGAGCGUGACGGCGCGAGCAGGUGCGAAAGCAGGUCAUAGUGAUCCGGUGGUUCUGAAUGGAAGGGCCAUCGCUCAACGGAUAAAAGGUACUCCGGGGAUAACAGGCUGAUACCGCCCAAGAGUUCAUAUCGACGGCGGUGUUUGGCACCUCGAUGUCGGCUCAUCACAUCCUGGGGCUGAAGUAGGUCCCAAGGGUAUGGCUGUUCGCCAUUUAAAGUGGUACGCGAGCUGGGUUUAGAACGUCGUGAGACAGUUCGGUCCCUAUCUGCCGUGGGCGCUGGAGAAUUGAGGGGGGCUGCUCCUAGUACGAGAGGACCGGAGUGGACGCAUCACUGGUGUUCGGGUUGUCAUGCCAAUGGCACUGCCCGGUAGCUAAAUGCGGAAGAGAUAAGUGCUGAAAGCAUCUAAGCACGAAACUUGCCCCGAGAUGAGUUCUCCCUGAGACCUUGAGUCUCCUGAAGGAACGUUGAAGACGACGACGUUGAUAGGUCGGGUGUGUAAGCGCAGCGAUGCGUUGAGCUAACCGAUACUAAUGAACCGUGAGGCUUAACCUU
rnacentral:rRNA from 1 species